UAACCGGGCAGUUGAUGAUGGCAUCGUGCCACUUGAACAUUGUUAAAUCCUUACGGAUCUACAAAUAAUAAUGCUCCUACUGUUUUCCUGAUUGUACUUCCUUUCCUACGAAUUCUAGAAGAUUGCUGCAAAUUGGUUGUGAAAGCCAAACUGCUAGGUUGCUCUCAUCCUAUAUUUGAAUUCUGGAUAUAUACAUACUUCAGCAAUAUGUAAUCUGAAUGAAUCCUUUUAAGUUUCAUUUUAUUGUUCAAGUUUUGGUUUAGCCAUCGAGAGGUAUUCACAGUUCGGUCAUUCAUGAAUUCAUUUUGCAUCAGUGUGUUGAUGAGCUAGCUACUUAUCUAUAAUUACUUCCUAUAAAUGUUGCUAGCUUACCUGGCCAUCUAGGGGGUCUGAAAGAGGCAAAUCCAUCGCGAGCGUCCAUUGGCCAGGGAACAGUAAAUUCAUCUGCCCGCUUUUCAUCACAUCCGUCCGAUGCAGUUUCUUAAGUUCAAGGGGAUGGCCUGGUUGCUACAGAUCGGUGCUGAAAUCCUGGCAGCAAGACAAGGUGCAGAUAGCAAGGAUAGGUUGUAGCAAUUGUUAUGCAGACUAGCCUGGAGUCUGGUUUUUGUACAGGUAGUGUCCAUCCUGGUUCUGGUGAUUUGAUUUGGGCAACUCUUCAAGUUUGGUUCUCAUAUAUUGGUCCUAAGAAAGUGAGACUGGUUUUUGUACAGGUAGUGUCCAUCCUGGUUCUGGUGAUUUGAUUUGGGAAACUCUUCAAGUUUGGUUCUCAUAUAUUGGUCCUAAGAAAGUGAGAAUUCUUCACCUGACAUUCUGCAAUUGCUUUCAACCGGGUUACUUAUAACAAUAGUCUAAUGUGGAAAAAAGCAUAAUCUGGGUUGGGCGGCAAAGCCUUGAUAUAUGCUGGUUUAUAAUUUAUUUUUCUACUAUGUUACCUAUAGGUUACAGAAUUUGACCAGAUUCUGGGAAUUGUUCCCUGUGAAAUCCCUGGCGGCAACGCCUGUACCGAAAUAAUAUCUAGAUGUGCUCCGUGCCACCAUUGGUAAUGAACCAAAUGAUCAAUAUGAUCGCCACCUAAGAU